AUCUUAUCAAGAGUGGUGGAGGGACUGGCCCUUUGAAACCCGGCAACCAGUAUAUUUUAUACGCGGUGCCAAAUCCUGCAGCAAAUGCUGAUAGAUGAGAA
rnacentral:ncRNA from 2 species